CCCCUCACAGGGUCGUGUCUGGAGAGUUUCCGGUACUCUCCCAGUCAUGACCUUAGGAGGGAGAGUCAAGCAGAGGCCUACCCACUCCAUUCCUAGCUUGGUCAGUGGCUAGUGAGUAGAGGGCAAUCUACUACAUGU